UAACAUUUGUCUGUAUCACCACCAUCAUCUCUCCUAAACUCCCCAUCCUCAUGGGAUCACGAAGAGCCUUGUAGCUUCUCCUUAGGCUAUGCUCACACCUUUAUCUUACCAUCUGUCCUUCUCUGAAAACUGAUAUUUUUUAAUGACCGUCUUUGCUUUAGACCUAUGUUUAGAUCACAAUUCCAGAACCCUUAGUGUGAUUUCAGAAGCUCACAGGUAUACUCUGUGGAUCAAUGCUGAGGCUGAGAUGUGGCAUCUGAUUUUCUAAUUUAUUUGAGGUAUUUAAAUCAAUGUUGUGCACACCUGUAUAUUUGCAAAAUGCUACAGUGCAGAAACUAAACUUUAAUUUUGCUUUUUUCACCCCAACUAAAUCCACAAAUGUCUAUAAUUCAGUAAAGACCAGUUUAUCCUGGUUCUAUCUUUUAGUCUUGUUACACUCAGGAGAGUGCCUUUUGCUGUUUAUGAAAAUGCUUAGACACUUUGCUGAAAAUCUGUUGUGAGUUGCACCACUAUAAGCAGCCCUUGGGGUUCUCCAGAUAAAUGGAAACUGUCUCCUCAGUGUCUGCUGAGUGACUAUUGCUAUUUUGCUUAGCAUUCUUCUGAAACUUGGAAGUUAAUUUUUUUUUACAAUACCUCAAAAGUAACCACUAGUUCCUCAUGUCCUUUUUUGGAAUUAAAAAAGUCAUUAGGAUUGAAAAGAAAUGUUUGAGAUUUAAACCUGUUAUUCUUUAAAAGUCAAAGAAUAAAAAUUUGAACUGUCCAUAUGUUAUUCAAGUGAGAAGAAGAACAGGUGAGAAUCUUAGUUCAGACAAAGCAACCCAUUUACAAUCACCCAUGAAGUCCUGUUUAUAUAAAAAAAAGAGAAGCAUUCCCAUAGGAUUCCCUGCCCUCAAAGCUACUCUUCCAGCUCUCUCAGUCUUUCCAUCUGUGUUACAUCCCUUGAAGGGCAAAGUAUUACCUUCUGCUAUCACAUUUGGAUACACAUACGUACUCGAAGUUAGAAGCAAAUGUUAUUCAUGCAUUUUGUUUCCAUCAAAAAGCUAAAUAACUUUCUACAACUACCCCAACUAAAUACUGGUAAUUAAAUCCACCUGUCCACAAUAACUUCAGCCUACCUACAGCAAGACUCAAUGCAUUGAUAGAGCUAUUACAUUUUUAUUAUUACUCCUUUAGCCACUGUGUCCUUUUGCAUUUGAGCCAUCACAUCACACUGGUGCAGUGCUGUAAUGCAGUCUUGGCACUACAGGCUCAGACAUCCAGUCCCUGGAACACAACUGGGAACCUUGUGUAUGGCACACAUGCCAAGCAGAGGGAAAGUGUGCAGGGCUGUAACCAGUUCCCUUGGUAACCAAGUGGUAUUUUUAAAAGAGAAAGUGGUACCACGGUGUUAAGUAAAUAAAUGCACACAAUAAAGGCCCCCACACGAGUAACUUUCCUAGAUACUGCUGACAAUAGAGAGCAGCAGAACAUGUAAAUUCAUGUGCCUUGGACCUGUGAGGAACCAGAAAAAUUUCUCCCCAAUUAGAUGGUCAAAUAAUGCCCUCAUUCACAAGUUCCUUUUAGGCAGCCAGGAACACUCUGCCUCCCAGCCCUUUUCCUCUUACCUCACCACUACUUUCCCAACUCCCUUUCACAUUACAAACAGCUACUAAGCAACAGGAGGUUUGCAGAGAAUGAGUCACUCUCAUGUGGCUGAUGGGCUGAGUGCAGGAUGGAGAUUAGUGACCUGACAAGGCACAGCCCAGAGCCAUUGUGCUUCCAGAAAACCAAAGUGGUCACUGAAUGCAGCAAAACUUAAUAUAUUAUAAGUGCUUUAAAAGGAUGUAAUUGUAAGUGAUGCCUUAUAAUUCUCACAGACAGAUGUGUGAGCCAACAAAGAACACUGCUGUAUGUUAGAUGCAAAGGUGACAUAUGGCACUAAGUAUUCCAUAUCAAAAAGGUAUUCCCUUAAAGUUAAUUAACCAUUUAUUAAAUUAGAUUUUGUUUAGAUGGUAAUAUGAAAUCCUUGUGCUUUGGACUGAUAGUAAAAAUUUGGGGAACCACACAAGGUCAGUCAGUUCCCAAUGUAAGCAACAGAUUCUGACAUAACUGCGAGUGUAUCUCCAAACCAGACUUCCUUCUGACUGAGGUUUUACUUUUCUUUUUUUUUUUUCCCUUUAAGAGAAUAACGGAAAAGAGAAAAUUUAUCUGAAAAAAGACUCAGGAGUUAAUCUGGACCACUCCCUUAUCUCCAGGGAGGACUCACUUCUACUUCAGAUCUGAUACAGCUAUGAAAAGAGAAGAAAUCAAUGUGGCCAAUUGCAUGUGCUGCCAGCAUCAUCUCACAGGAGUACCCUACUGCAGCAAUAUCUUCUGUGCUGUCAUCUUCCAUACCUCAACACUGAGAUGGAAAUGACUGCCAAUAUACAAAAGAAAAGCCAUACACAGCUUUGUGAAACAGAAAGAGAUGGAAGAGAAGGAGUCACUGCACUUUUGUACCCAGGAAUGACCUUUGGGAGGACAACUCCUUUUCACCGCACAGAGCAGAUUUGGGACAAAGAGGAAAGAGAAAGCUGCUGGAUGCAUCCUCUUCUACCUAGUGUGGUGUUAUACAGUCCAUGACCUUCAGCUUUUAUGAACAGGUCUAGUUCCUGUGCAGUCAACACACUGUCCUUCUAUGAAAUGCAUUCUCAAUUUCUCUGAUGCUAUAGACACAUGACUUAAAACAGUUGUUAACUGGUUUGUGUCCAUUAAACUUGCUGUGAAGGAUACCUCCUCACAGAAGGGAUGAGCACCAACAACACGUCCUCUGUAAAGCAAAGUAAGACUGACAAGAAACAAGUACUCUUCAAAGUGGGACAAGAGCCACCCCGAUGGCCUGGAGACAAGACCCCAAAGACAAGAUGCUGGGUUCCAACAUUUGAAUUUGUCAAACAGCUUCUCCAUUUUGGAUAGUCUGAACAAUAAACAAAACAAAUUGCCUAUCCCAAAACAACCCAUCUAAUGCACACAUAUGCAAAAAAUAUCAGUCUCUCAGGGCUCUAUUUCCAAAGACAGAGCAAAACAUCGAGUUGUCAAAUAGAACAUGCUUUGGAUCAUAAUGCUCAUAUGCAGAACAGCUCUUGCACAGCAUCAUGGAAAUUUCUAAACUGAGCCUUCUCUAUACACAUUUGCACAGGGCAACUGUCAUUGGAAACAUCAGCAAUUUGAAAAAAAAAUCUGCAUGCUCCUAGGCAGAGGUGUUUGUUCCUGUGCUGAGUAUCUUCUCACCUAAAAAUCUCACACUUCUUGUGGAGUAUUAAUAUCUUCUAUCCUAAUCCUUCUAAGGUUAACUUACUUGUCCUUUUGAUCUCUGAGUUAAGCGUCCUGAGCAUUUAUCUGACUACACCCAAGAGCAAGUUCUAUACAAAAUCUGUGUUGUACUUGGAAAUACAAAAUACAUUACAUUCUGGGAAAGUAAAGGCUCCUCAAGAAGAACCUGUCUUGAUUAUGGCAGUAACUAUAAGAAAUUCCCAGUUCCAAACACCCUCCAUUACUUUAGUGAUUGACUAAACAAAGUCCUUGAAUCUUUUUUUUUCUUCUUCUUCCCUGUGUUCCACUUUGCAGAUAGGAGGACAGAGAUAGCUCUGAUUUCUUUCUCUGUGCAAUAGAGGCAAUGUGAUGGCUGAUGUAACAACGGGUUGAACGUCCCAGUUUGUCCUCGUGUCCUCUUCAUUCUGUCUCUCUGUAGCUGCUACAGGGUUCAUGUACAAACAAGGGUUAGCAGUAGAAGCAAUGGUAUUGCCCAGGGAAUAGUUCCUGCACAGGGACAUUUAUCUUGUUGCUCCAUUUUUAGCACAACAAAGAUCUUACUUCUCUUUGCUGCAGUCCCAGUGUACAUGUUCAGUACAGAGACAGUCAGCCUUUGUCCAAAAAGCUCUUUAACUGGAAAGGAUGGUUUAACAUGACCGCUCCUCUACCUCUGCAUGUACAUAGCAAGAAUAUCUAGAGUCCUAGUAGCUAAUUAAAGGAGUUUGAGAAAGAAAGCUUUGCUUAAAAUUUCCAGUCUCUAUUACAAGCUAGGAUUGUGCUGUUUGCUAGGUCUGUUGAGAGGUCACACCACCUCUCAUGUGCCUGGUACAAGCGCUGAGGCACCCAGGAUGCUGUCAUGUGAGAUGUGAGGUUAGAGUAUAAAAAGCCUUCUCCAUCCUGACAAUUCUCAGUUUUCUGUACUUCUCCUGAAAGAAGGAUUUACAAGUUUGGAGCUUGGCAGAACAGAAAAAAAGAGUUCCAUAAGAAUGAGUCAAGGCCCUCACCUUAAUUCCUCACAUAUUCCAAAUUAAUUUUCUUCUGACCUCAGCCUACAACCAGUCUUUUCUGUUAUGAAAGAAUGAGCCAAGUUUGUCGACUUUAUUCUUUCCAAGAGACAGCCAAGAAGAAUAAAUGCAGAUUAAUCUACUUUGGCCAAAUUAAAGGAAAUUGUAGCUCACAGCAGAGGAAUUCCCUUUGUUUGUUUGACAACACAAGGGAAUUACUGCAGUGCUGUCUCCUGUCACCACUGACAGGCUGUUUGAUAUGUUUCUGUUGCUAGAGUUCCAAAAUGCAUGUUACUGUCAGAUUCCAGGGAAGGCCAUUUCCCCAGGGAGUUAGGCUAGGAGCCCUCUCUCACUGGGAGCUGUAAGUGAUGCUUGCUGGUUGAUGAAUCUGUAAUCAACAUGUAAUCAAGCCACCUCAGGACAGGAAAACUCUCAAAUACAAGUCACAUUCAGCAGGGAAAUGGCAGGAGCAGGCAGGUUUUGAGAUAGACCAUCUGCAGGUUAACAAGGGACCACAGUGAAAACAACAGAGCUGUAUUCAGUGAGUGAGUCACUGCCUGAGACACCUGGCUGAGAGACUGUUCUGUGACUGUGCUGUCAGGAGAGGGAAUGCUGGCUCAGUGCAGCAGCCUGCAAGUGUAAACACCUAUAUUUGCCUCCUCCAUACCCUCACCAAGUGGCUACCUCCUGUCUGCUGCUCACAAUACCUCCCUACCACCCUUCAAAUAAGAAGAGUUUCUCAUUUUUUAUCCUAAAUCCUAGAUGAUAAUUUUUUUAAAUAGAGGAAGCAAUCUUUAUCAAGUACCUUCCUUCAUUAUUUACAUGCAAAAUCCCACCAGCAACCUGCACAGUCAGGUUCAAAGCAAAACAAAGGUAACAGAAACAAACAUAAGACUUCGCAAAAAAUCCUUUGACUAAGGCAGUUUUGCAAAUGGUUACAUAUAUCCAAACACUGAAGCACAACUACUCUGGUCCAGUUUAUGGAAACAGCUGCCUUUAUUGUAAGUAGACAAGCAGUGCUAGAACAAACACAGAGACAAGCACCAUCACCAAACUACCAAAAAAAACAAAAAAAAAGCGAAGCUUUAAAUUAAAUGAACUUUUAACUAGUCACUGGUUAGGUUUUGUUAAAUGUUUAAUGUUUUAUAAUAUUUGGGGAUUUUUUCAGGUUCACUCAGGAGAGUAAGUAAUGCUUAAUUCACUGGGAGUUAGUUACCUUCUGAACUAAUUUCUGCUACUUUCUUUUAAUGUUUCCCUUCAAGUUAUGCAAUGCUACUGCAGCAUCUCAAAGUGAAAGUACCUUGUACAGAACGAUUUAGCUCUGAGCUGAGCCUGAUCCACAGUCAGUAGCCAUGUUGCCUCUGGGGAUUUUGGAUUUAGCUUCUUAAACAGCUAUGACCUCUGGGACUCCUAUUCCCUUUGCUAGGUAGCACUUAAACUUCUAGAGGACUUCAAUAUCAGCAGCCAUUCAGUGCAAUCAAACAUAAGGUUUCUGGAGUUCUUUCACUUGCUACAAGAACUACAGAUUCCUCCAAGAUUACAGCAAGUUACUCAGAAAUCUUCCUACCCCUGGUUCACUGACAGCACACAGGAAGGAGGUUAUUUUUGAGAAGAACUCUGCUCUUCUUUCUGGGUUCAUUGCUUCCUUCUCCAAGGUGCAGACCCUCUCUUGAUUCUUACAUACAGACACACACAGUCUAUCUGACUUGUUAAGGUCUUUCCUCUGCCCAAAUAUAUAGUGUUUGACUCUGUAAUUGUUAUUUUUUAGUCAAAGUGCCUUCUUUCUGCAUGGCAAGUUUCACCAUCCAGACUGCUCAUGAAACAGGAGGGGCUGGGACAGGCGGCUCAGGACUGAACACAGUCUUUAUUUCUAAAACUGUGGUGCUGAAGGAGCUCUUCAGCAAACAGAUAUCUGGGAGUCAGCAACAAGAAAAACACCGACUCGCAUAGUUCAUAACUCUGUCUUUGCCAGGUGGGGGUUAAACAAGAAAAGCACCUGUCAGCUGUGAUUUCUGUUAGGAGAUCAUUCUACUUCUAAAACAUCUCAGUCUCUGCACAGAACUUAAUCAAAUCUGCUCAUUCUCCCCUGGAGUCAACUGCAUAGAACUGAUUGUCACUACAAGGACAAUGAACAUGCUGGUGGAAAGGUCUUUGCUUUAACAUUGCUGCUGAAGCCACACAUCAGUUAUGAAGAUGAAAGACAGAAGGCUGUGUUGCUUCAUGUUGAUGAAGCAAUUGAGACUGACAUGAAAAAUGUGGUCAGUGUCAACAUGCCAAGACACAUGGGGCAUAUUCUGCCUCUCCAUUCCCUUCUCCCAGUCCUCCUAAAAUGUUCAAUGCAAAGAAAAAAGCAUCAAGGGUGUUAAGUGACUUGGAAUAUUUUUGUAUUUAUAUCAUCUAGUAAACGAAAUUGCUGAAAAAUGUCACAGUGUGAUCUUCAUGUAUGUGUGGGAGAAAACAUCUCAGCUGUCAGGGAAUGACUGUACAGCUCCCUGCUGGAAAGAAGAAGUCAAACGUUUCACAAACAGACUUUUAUAGCCUGGUGGGAUCUCUGCUAAACACUUGGGAUAUCCAGACUUGAUUGCUUCCAGGAAGAUAUCUGCUGAUUCAUCCUGGCAGUACCCACUCUCAAGCUGAGCUCUCCCCAGAUCCCAAUCAGCAGAAAGUCUUUCAACCACAGUGCUGACACCAGCUCAGAGAAUUCUGCCUUGAAAUUCUUGGUAAGCUGGUGGGCUAUAAGUCAUCAUCAAAUCUCAGUCAGCUUUUGAAGUGUAGGAAACAACUCGAUUCCCAGAACUUUCUGGAAGGGCUGUUCUGUCACUCAGUGCACUUGUGAUGUUUUUGCUGCUGUUGAUUAAAGCUCUUCAUUCCUUUGCUUCCCUUCCCCUUUCCCCACCUGAACUGCCACCAUGGGUGACAGGUGCUGGGUGCAGGUACUCUCUCUGUGCAUACACUGGAAAUGGAUACUACUGGAGACACAUGAAGGAAAGAGAAGGGGGAACUGUUCUCUAUCAGAGCUAUCAGCAAACAUAGCUGGAGUUCAGGAAGACUUCCCACAGAUCAACCUAAAAGAGUGAGGGACAGAGAAGGAGAGAGAGGGCAUGAGAAAGUUUCGCCUCUUUCUUUCAAUGUGGUUCAGGAUCUCUGAGAGCAAUAAGAAAUGUACAGGCUUAGAAUUCCCCUGUAAACUCCAAAAUAAUCUAGAGAACACUAACCCAUACAAUACUCCGUGCCAACAGCUGGUGGGUAAGAGCAGAUCAGGUUUGUUCUUUCAAGCAGCAGUGCCCUUUGCCUUACUGCAGCACACUGUAAUUAAGGCCUUGCGUAGGGCCAGAUUCACUAGCAUAAUAAAGAGGAGUUAUUUUUGUAUGUGAAUUCAAAUGAACAAAUGCAAUUUCUAACCAUUAACCUCUUGAAGUAGAUAACAAGUGGGUUUAGGGAUAAUUACUGAUUUUCAUAGUUUCUAGGAAAGCUUUAUCAGGACCCUUAUGUUUCUAAAACACUGACACAUCGCAUGAUCCAGGCCGUUGGUGUCUAAAAAGGCAAUGAGUGCAUUACAACAUGCCCCAUAUCCCAGAGCCAGCUCCCCUGCCUUUCUGUGUGUGCAGAGAAGAUGCCAAGAAGCCUGGGGAGCCAGUUCCCAAGUCCUUUCCUUCAUUGGUGCACACUUGCUCUUACAUAGGCAACCACAUUUCAGUGGAGCUAAGGUCUUUGGGUGGAUCGCUCAUUUUGCAGGUUCAGAGAUUGAUUCCAGCAAGAACUGGAGUUUGCACGGCCCACUGGGAAAACUCACUCCUCACCUCUCCUCCAGAGGUACAUGAAAUCUAGUAUGAGGAAGGAGAUGUGGAGAGGCAGGGAAGACGCUGGGCUAAGGAUCCAUCCUGCUUCUGACAGCCCAGAAACAAGAGGAACCUGUUACCAGCAUGGAUAUAAGGAGCCUACUCUGCUGAGUGAGCUCCUGCACAGCUCCACAGACCAGGAUCCACCUCGGCAGCCAUGCCCUGAUGCAACACAGUCCUUUGUGCUGAUCCAACAGCCACUGUUUCAGUGGAUAAACCAGGUAUUAAACUCACCAUUUCCAGAAGUUACAAACUCAGCUGCAAAAGCCACAGCUCUGUAGCAGUGGGUCACAACUCCUGCCUUGGCCAGCACAUCACUCCUUGCUAACCUUGCCUGCUGCCAGCGAUUCCUAUUGUGUGCUGCACACAACAGUGAGACUUCCUUCUCCUCUGUUAUGGACCUGAACACCUUACCUUGAUAUAGGCAUACAUAAUUUUAUUAAAAUGAUCACUGCACUACUGAGGCAGCAUUUACAGGGGAACCGAACAAUAGCUCUUUCCAAGCUACCAAGCUCUUGCAAGACGUGAUGUAGGGAGAUGGGAGCUGACACCAAGCUAGAGCAGAUGGCAUUGAAGAUGAAAGAUGAGAAAGCUCACUUGCAGGGAACCUGGGUUUUGUUCUCUGUGGGAGGAACAUGAACUUUUGCAUUUAAGCCAAAUUUAAUAAUGCAUUCCAGUGAUCUACGUUCUUUUAAGCUCCCACAUUUCCUCCCUUCCUGAACGCUAUAUGUUUUCCCCUUCUAUUAGAGGUAUUUCUGUGGCAUCCACUGCCAACAGGUUGAAAAUCAAAAUGCUACCAAGUUGUCAUGGAUGAAACAUCAAUAUCUUGAAUGUUUGGGAAAGAGCCAAACGUUAGUUUAAUUAGCUUGAACAUAUUCAAUUUGGACUGACCUUUUCAAAUAGAAUCAAAGAAGCACUGAGGUUGGAAGCAACCUCUGGAGAUCAUCUAGUGCAACCAUCUGUUCAAAGCAGAGCCCAUUAGAUGAACUUGCUUAGGACAUCAUCCAGUCAGAUUUUUCUGUAUCUCCCAAAACAGUCUGCAAAAUAUUUCUCCUGAACACAUGCACUACAGUCCUUAAAGAAGUUAUUUCAAACCAAAUUUUGCAACUUUAUUUCCUACAAUGCAAAGAAAUCUUUUGAUAAUUUUGUAACAUAACACAUUUUCCUCCAUCCAGAAUAGGAAAUAAGAAAAACCUUUUUGCUACAAUGACUGCAUUUUUAAUACUGUUCAUUUUUCAAAUUUCAAUUUCCAAUUAAAAUUUUAAAAGGUCAAUAUAUAAAUUCCCAUCUGAAUCUCGUGUAAGCAUCUUAAAAGAAAAUCAGCACCUACCCAGUAUCAGGGACUAAGAACAGUUCAGUACCACACUUGCUGCUGUGCAUUUCCUCUCUUCAGCUCUUUUCCAGACCCCGUAAGGAGUUUUGGAAACUCUAUGGACACUUGCUUGCCUACUUAGACUCCAGCACAAGGACACCAUUGGAUGAAGCAGGACACAUCACAGUCUCUGGUGUGUUCCUACCACCCAGCACUUCUGAUUCUGUCUCCAGCUACUUGCAAAGGCCAUUUCAAUUCGGCAUAGUAAUGACAUAUUGCAGAAUACUAAAACCUUCAGUGAAGUUCGCAGCACUGACUCCUCAUAAAUACAAACUGUCAGCUCUCUGGUGCUUCCAAAUAUGCAGUGAUCACAUACUGGAAACCAUUCCCAUACAUUUACUGGUUUACAUUGGCAGUGCACUGCAAAAGAUCAGAAGGUACUUUAAAACAAACAAACAAACAAACAAACCACAACUCCUGCAAUAAUGUGGCUUUUAUCUUCUAAAAGGUGUUCAUAGGAAAAACUCUAAUUUCUAGAAGAGUUCUCCAUUGACCCUGUGAUACGGAGUCUGGGUGUAAGUUAAAAACCAGACAAAUUAAAUUUUUCUCUCAUUUAUUGUGAAAUAUAAGUAUUUUUAUGUUUCUCAUUAAAUUUUUCAUCAGAAAAGAUCAUGGAACUGGAUCACAUAAUUCAGAUCGUUUGGUCAGGAACUUCCAUUCUCAUUAUUUCACCCAGUACAGAAGCUACAACACAAUUGCAACUGACAAAACACUUGCAAAUGUACAGACAGCCCUAUUCCAAUGAGUUACUUCUUUACACUGAAAAAACAUAAGGUUGUCAUAACUGAGCAGUUAAAAAAAAAAAAGCCUUGCAAUCAUUUGAUGGCUCUUCAGUGAAUAAUGGAAAAGAGUUUAAAGGGCUCAAGCACAGACCUCGGGGAAAAAGAGAACUGCAUCAUUAAAAAACUCCAGCCCAGUUAAUUGCAGGUAAUUUCUCUGAAUAAUGACAGCAGAGAACACUGAGUGACGUAGGGGAGAGAAUAUUCUGAGUCGUAAUCACUUAAAACGAACAGUUCAGUCAAUUUGAACUUAUUUGGGACAGUCUGUCCUGCCCCUUCCAGAGCACUGUAAACAUUUGGCUAAAGCUGUCAAGGAGCAUCUUCCAUGUGUUCUGCACCCUACAAAUGGUGGCAGAAGAGCUCUCCCUCCCUGUUCACGCUGGGAACAUCCUGUACACACCUGUGCACACAAACAUGGCUCUGUGGCCUAAUUUUUGAGGAAUAAUUAAUAUUUAAUUAUGUAAAUAGCACCUAAAAAGAGGAUAUGUUCCUUUGGCAGACCAAUUCAUCUUCUAGUGCAGCCACUUUAAGUGUCCUCCACAGCUGGAACUAUCUAUGUAAAAUGCCUGUAAGUCAACAGGAACAAUGCCUGGUGCAUGGCAGAACAAAUGAGAGCUAAUUCACAAGGAAGGGACCACCAAACUAAAUAUAUUUGGGUUUCAUCUACCUCACAUUAGCCUGUUUUGGAGAACAUGUGUACUUGUCACAUAUAAUUCUCAGUUGCUCCCAUUCUGAGAUAACUUUCUUCACUGAGGUCCUCAAGACACCAUUCAGUUUGAUCUCUACACUUUCAAACAUUCAUCACCCAAGCAUUCAAAAGAUUCAUGACCUACUUGGGCCACCCUUAUUUCAAAUGGCAAGUUGAGUGUAUCAGGAAUAACACUUCAUGGGAGCUUGAAGCAUUUAUUUUUAAAGCAAUACAUGAAGAUGAUCUGUGUCUGCAUGAUGCCAGAAGAGAGCAAGGCGAGGGAAGCAAACAAUGAACAAAACACAAACACCCCUCUGGUAACGUCUCAAAGCAGCAGAUUAAAAGCAGCUCCUAUUCCCAAUGCCCUUACUUCAAGGCUCUUACCUCAAGAGCUGUUAGCCUUAGAACCAGCAAACAAGAGUCCAAAUGGAACCAUGCUGAAAAUUGGGUGCCUUCCCCUUCUCAACAUCCUCUUCUCAUGUACACAGCCCUGAGUACAGCCUGAUUAUUUUCGCUAUGAGCUCCAUUACAUCCCUUAAACGAGAAGAAUAACCCACUCCUUCCUAGCUGUGGUUGUGUAAACCAAUAUUAAAAGACUCUCAAACCCUGGGUCCCUCUGGCUGACUGCAGGGAGGAGGCAGAAUGUCAGCACAUGUCAAUAUUGAACUUAGCUUGGCUGGGUCUGAGGCAGGUGCCUGCCACGUGUAAAAGCCCCAGAGCUCCAGUGGACUCAAAUCUUCCUGCCACCAUGGAUUUACAGAGCUCUUGGGAAACAUAUUUCUAAGGGAACACAGGCACCUACAGCACGGAACAGCUGCACCACUUAGAAAGUUUAUCUCUCCAUUUCAUGCUUGUUAGACUUUCCUAGGACAUGCACUAGCUGCAUGCACUUCUGUAAGCCACUUAAACUCCCUAAAAGCAGUGGAUCAGGACGGUGUAGAGUACUGCACUGAGUUGGUUUGUCUCUGCUGAUCAGUACAAGAGAAGGGCAGGGAGAUUUUGUCAAGUUUUAUAAAAUUAUGCCCACAAAAGCAGGGCUAAGUACUGCUCUACUAACAGCAGGAGACCAUAGCCAUGACAUUCUUCUCUGAGAAACUGAAUAGACAUUCAGUAAGAACAGACUCAUUACUAUUGCUGGAACCAUUUAAAUCCCAUCCAUCCCCUCCAGGAUGUACCCCUUGCUGCUCUAAAACAGGCAGAAGGAUUUUUUUUUAGGAAGCUCUAACUGCUACCCGAGGAAUGAGAUACAAUUUUGCCCCAGGGAGAGCCAGGUGCUUUGCUUUGCUGCUUGUCUCACAAAAGUUGUACCCUGCAAUAGAGCACAUUUGUAUUGGAUUAAUGUAAUCAAAAGCACCCUGCUGUCUGGUCACUGACCUGUCUGUAAACAACAGAUGACAUGACGCUGUGAGCUACUAUUAUACAUAAUUACCUAUUGAGUUGUGACUAUUGUUAAAAAAAAAACAAAACCAUAUACUUCA